CAGUAUCACGUGACUGCAUACACUGUUCAACUAAAGCUCAAUUAUGUUCUCUAACUGACAACAACUGAGACAAACUAAAGAGCGAUUAUCUGAACUAACGCACAAUUAUGUUCUCUAACUAGCAACAGCUGAGACAAAUUAAAGAGACACCAUCUGAACUAACGCACAUCUAUGUUCUCUAACUAACAACAGCAGGAACAAAUUAAGUAAAGAUAAGCUUACCUGAAACGCGAAGUAGUAGCGACGACACAAUCAGAUGCACAGUUCAGGAAAAGUUAGGAGAAGCGAAGUUCAGAAUCUGCAGCAUCCAUUGUUGAAUAUUAGAAAUAUUGCUGUUCUCGGUGAAGUAUUGCACAGCGUCAGUCAGAGACCCGUGUGCGUGCAUCAGUAUAACCACACACACAUACCAUCUCUGAGGACAAAGGAAGCAGGUUGUAUUCAACUUUAUUGAAGAAACAGAAUUUUUAAUGCAUUCUUACCAGGUGCCCCAUGGAGACUACAUUUUUACCCCAGCCAUUUAAUUCAGCACAAAAUAAUUUCCACAUCUUGUCCACCUCAACAAUCAUUGUGUGCAGUGGCUAAAAAGAUAUGUUGGGAAGUAAUAUUCUCUGGCCCACUUCCAGCUAGUAAGAGCAACGAGGUCCUGUCAAUUAGCUGAGACCCCACUUUACAUCGGCUGGCUCUUGAUAGGUUAACCCAGACUGGUACGUAUCGCUCAUAUCUGAUCUGGGGGAGACUGGAGCAGGCCCCAAGAUGUAGACCCUUCUCAGGCUUGACUCAGGUGGUUGGGCUACCUAGCGGUGUUAACAAAAACCACUUGGGUCUAGCAAGGUAAGUAUCCAGCCCCCCUGGGUCCACUUGGACAGCACGCAGGGUGUGGUGGUCUGGGGCCACAGACCUUAAAUGGUGCCCAAUUUUCUAUCAGUGACUAGCACCACCCACACACCAGACCGUCUUGCACUACACGUGAAUCUGACUAACCGAAACCAGUUUGGACUCUUUCAAAUUUCUGCACCCCUCUAAAUUGUCUCAUUCGAAUAGAUGGUGUAAUAUAUUGACUAUUUUCUAGUUUUGUGCCUAAUUAGGUGGUAAGUUCUACUCAACUGUACGUGGCGCUUCCGUUUUUCAGUUGUUCUUUCAAUCCAGCAUAGAGUACAAAGAAUCACGGAAGUUCAAGAGCUAGCUCAAAUGCAGCAGCAACAUGGACCCUGUAAAAGAAACAAAGAAAUGUUAAUGAAAACGCCUUAAAUAGCUAACUAGUUGAGUGCGGUGAAUACACAAGAUUCAACAGAUGGUUCUAAA